rnacentral:rRNA from 1 species
GAUCAUGGCUCAGGAUGAACGCUAGCUACAGGCUUAACACAUGCAAGUCGAGGGGAAGCGACAUCGAAAGCUUGCUUUUGAUGGGCGUCGACCGGCGCACAGGUGAGUAACGCGUAUCCAACCUGCCCACCACUUGGGGAUAACCUUGCGAAAGUAAGACUAAUGCCCAAUGACAUCCCACGAAGGCAUCCGAAUGGGAUUAAAGAUUUAUCGGUGAUGGAUGGGGAUGCGU